rnacentral:rRNA from 1 species
CCGCGGUAAUACGGAGGGUGCAAGCGUUAUUCGGAAUUACUGGGCGUAAAGGGCGCGCAGGCGGCUCCUUAAGUCGGGCGUGAAAGCCCGGGGCUAAACCCCGGAAGGGCGUCUGAAACUAGGGAGCUCGAGUACGGGAGAGGGAAGUGGAAUUCCUGGUGUAGAGGUGAAAUUCGUAGAUAUCAGGAGGAACACCGGUGGCGAAGGCGACUUCCUGGACCGAUACUGACGCUGAGGCGCGAAAGCGUGGGGAGCGAACAGGAUUAGAGACCCUGGUAGUCCACGCCGUAAACGAUGAACACUAGGUGUAGCGGGUAUUGACUCCUGCUGUGCCGCAGCUAACGCAUUAAGUGUUCCGCCUGGGGACUACGGUCGCAAGGCUAAAACUCAAAGGAAUUGACGGGGGCCCGCACAAGCGGUGGAGCAUGUGGUUUAAUUCGACGCAACGCGAAGAACCUUACCUGGGCUUGACAUCCCAAGAAGCCCCUCGAAAGAGGGGGGUGCCCUUCGGGGAGCUUGGAGACAGGUGCUGCAUGGCUGUCGUCAGCUCGUGUCGUGAGAUGUUGGGUUAAGUCCCGCAACGAGCGCAACCCUUGUCUUUAGUUGCCAUCAGCUAGGCUGGGCACUCUAAAGAUACUGCCUCGGUCAACGGGGAGGAAGGUGGGGAUGACGUCAAGUCCUCAUGGCCUUUAUGCCCAGGGCUACACACGUGCUACAAUGGGCUGCACAAAGGGUCGCGAUCCCGCGAGGAGCAGCUAAUCCCAAAAAGCAGUUCUCAGUUCGGAUUGGAGUCUGCAAUUCGACUCCAUGAAGUUGGAAUCGCUAGUAAUCGUGGAUCAGCAUGCCACGGUGAAUGCGUUCCCGGGCCUUGUACACACCGCCCGUCACACCACGAGAGUUGACUGUACCAGAAGUUGCUGGGCCAACUUGCUUCGAGCAGGAGGCAGGUACCUAAGGUAUGGUUGAUAAUUGGGGUGAAGUCGUAACAAGG